rnacentral:rRNA from 1 species
GGACCUGACUGCUAUCGGAUUGAUACUAAGCCACGCGAGUCAUUGUAGCAAUACAAGGCAUACGGCUCAGUAACGCGUAGUCAACCUAACCUAUGGACGGGAAUAACCUCGGGAAACUGAGAAUAAUGCCCGAUAGAACAUUAUGCCUGGAAUGGUUUAUGUUCCAAAUGAUUUAUCGCCGUAGGAUGGGACUGCGGCCUAUCAGUUUGUUGGUGAGGUAAUGGCCCACCAAGACUAUUACAGGUACGGGCUCUGAGAGGAGUAGCCCGGAGAUGGGUACUGAGACACGGACCCAGGCCCUAUGGGGCGCAGCAGGCGAGAAAACUUUGCAAUGUGCGAAAGCACGACAAGGUUAAUCCGAGUGGUUUCUGCUAAAGAAACCUUUUGUCAGUCCUAGAAACACUGAUGAAUAAGGGGUGGGCAAGUUCUGGUGU